CAGCAGCCGCGGUAAUACAGAGGAUGCAAGCGUUAUCCGGAAUGAUUGGGCGUAAAGGGCUCGCAGGCGGUUUCUUAAGUCUGAUGUGAAAGCCCCCGGCUCAACCGGGGAGGGUCAUUGGAAACUGGGAAACUUGAGUGCAGAAGAGGAGAGUGGAAUUCCACGUGUAGCGGUGAAAUGCGUAGAGAUGUGGAGGAACACCAGUGGCGAAGGCGACUCUCUGGUCUGUAACUGACGCUGAGGAGCGAAAGCGUGGGGAGCGAACAGGAUUAGAUACCCCUGUAGUCCCUGUCUCUUAUAC
rnacentral:rRNA from 1 species